GAGUGUAUAGCUCAGUGUUAGAGUGCCUGCCUAGCAUGCAUGAGGUCCUGGGUUCAAUCACCAGUAUCUCCA
rfam:Camelus ferus unplaced genomic scaffold scaffold10650, whole genome shotgun sequence.